GCGGCACGUGAGCUGGGUUUAGACCGUCGUGAGACAGGUCGGUCCCUAUCUGGUGUGGGUGUAGGAUGACUGAGGAGGUUUGCCCCUAGUACGAGAGGAUUGGGGUGGACGACCCUCUGGUGCUCCAGUUAUCACGCUAGUGGUACAGCUGGGUAGCUACGGUCGGAACGGAUAAGCGCUGAAUGCAUCUAAGCGCGAAGCCCUCUCCAAGACGAGUCAUCCCUAUCAGUCCCCUGGGAGACUACCAGGUUGAUAGGCCGGCGGUGUAAGCAUGGCAACGUGUUGAGCUUACCGGUACUAAUCGGACGAUCG
rnacentral:rRNA from 1 species